CCUACGGGGCGCAGCAGUCGGGAAUAUUGCACAAUGGAGGAAACUCUGAUGCAGUGACACCGCGUAUAGGAAGAAGGUUUUCGGAUUGUAAACUAUUUUAGACAGGGAAGAAAAAAGACAGUACCUGUAGAAUAAGCUCCGGCUAACUACGUGCCAGCAGCCGCGGUAAUACGUAGGGAGCAAGCGUUAUCCGGAAUUAUUGGGUGUAAAGGGUGCGUAGACGGGACAGCAAGUUAGUUGUGAAAGCCCUCGGCUUAACUGAGGAACUGCAACUAAAACUAUUGUUCUUGAGUGCAGGAGAGGAA
rnacentral:rRNA from 1 species